rnacentral:rRNA from 1 species
UACAUGGGGUGCAAACGUUGCUCGGAAUUAUUGGGCGUAAAGCGCACGUAGGCGGUUCGUUAAGUCGGACGUGAAAGCCCUCGGCUCAACUGAGGAAGUGCACCCGAAACUGGCGAGCUUGAGUACGAAAGAGGAUCGCGGAAUUCCCGGUGUAGAGGUGAAAUUCGUAGAUAUCGGGAGGAACACCGGUGGCGAAGGCGGCGACCUGGUCCUUUUACUGACGCUGAGGCGCGAAAGCGUGGGGAGCAAACAGG